UNGGGUAGCAAGGGUACUGUGGGACUCUGU
rnacentral:piRNA from 1 species